GGUUAAGCGACUAAGCGUACACGGUGGAUGCCCUGGCAGUCAGAGGCGAUGAAGGACGUGCUAAUCUGCGAUAAGCGUCGGUAAGGUGAUAUGAACCGUUAUAACCGGCGAUUUCCGAAUGGGGAAACCCAGUGUGUUUCGACACACUAUCAUUAACUGAAUCCAUAGGUUAAUGAGGCGAACCGGGGGAACUGAAACAUCUAAGUACCCCGAGGAAAAGAAAUCAACCGAGAUUCCCCCAGUAGCGGCGAGCGAACGGGGAGCAGCCCAGAGCCUGAAUCAGUGUGUGUGUUAGUGGAAGCGUCUGGAAAGGCGCGCGAUACAGGGUGACAGCCCCGUACACAAAAAUGCACAUGCUGUGAGCUCGAUGAGUAGGGCGGGACACGUGGUAUCCUGUCUGAAUAUGGGGGGACCAUCCUCCAAGGCUAAAUACUCCUGACUGACCGAUAGUGAACCAGUACCGUGAGGGAAAGGCGAAAAGAACCCCGGCGAGGGGAGUGAAAAAGAACCUGAAACCGUGUACGUACAAGCAGUGGGAGCACGCUUAGGCGUGUGACUGCGUACCUUUUGUAUAAUGGGUCAGCGACUUAUAUUCUGUAGCAAGGUUAACCGAAUAGGGGAGCCGAAGGGAAACCGAGUCUUAACUGGGCGUUAAGUUGCAGGGUAUAGACCCGAAACCCGGUGAUCUAGCCAUGGGCAGGUUGAAGGUUGGGUAACACUAACUGGAGGACCGAACCGACUAAUGUUGAAAAAUUAGCGGAUGACUUGUGGCUGGGGGUGAAAGGCCAAUCAAACCGGGAGAUAGCUGGUUCUCCCCGAAAGCUAUUUAGGUAGCGCCUCGUGAAUUCAUCUCCGGGGGUAGAGCACUGUUUCGGCAAGGGGGUCAUCCCGACUUACCAACCCGAUGCAAACUGCGAAUACCGGAGAAUGUUAUCACGGGAGACACACGGCGGGUGCUAACGUCCGUCGUGAAGAGGGAAACAACCCAGACCGCCAGCUAAGGUCCCAAAGUCAUGGUUAAGUGGGAAACGAUGUGGGAAGGCCCAGACAGCCAGGAUGUUGGCUUAGAAGCAGCCAUCAUUUAAAGAAAGCGUAAUAGCUCACUGGUCGAGUCGGCCUGCGCGGAAGAUGUAACGGGGCUAAACCAUGCACCGAAGCUGCGGCAGCGACACUAUGUGUUGUUGGGUAGGGGAGCGUUCUGUAAGCCUGUGAAGGUGUGCUGUGAGGCAUGCUGGAGGUAUCAGAAGUGCGAAUGCUGACAUAAGUAACGAUAAAGCGGGUGAAAAGCCCGCUCGCCGGAAGACCAAGGGUUCCUGUCCAACGUUAAUCGGGGCAGGGUGAGUCGACCCCUAAGGCGAGGCCGAAAGGCGUAGUCGAUGGGAAACAGGUUAAUAUUCCUGUACUUGGUGUUACUGCGAAGGGGGGACGGAGAAGGCUAUGUUGGCCGGGCGACGGUUGUCCCGGUUUAAGCGUGUAGGCUGGUUUUCCAGGCAAAUCCGGAAAAUCAAGGCUGAGGCGUGAUGACGAGGCACUACGGUGCUGAAGCAACAAAUGCCCUGCUUCCAGGAAAAGCCUCUAAGCAUCAGGUAACAUCAAAUCGUACCCCAAACCGACACAGGUGGUCAGGUAGAGAAUACCAAGGCGCUUGAGAGAACUCGGGUGAAGGAACUAGGCAAAAUGGUGCCGUAACUUCGGGAGAAGGCACGCUGAUAUGUAGGUGAAGUCCCUCGCGGAUGGAGCUGAAAUCAGUCGAAGAUACCAGCUGGCUGCAACUGUUUAUUAAAAACACAGCACUGUGCAAACACGAAAGUGGACGUAUACGGUGUGACGCCUGCCCGGUGCCGGAAGGUUAAUUGAUGGGGUUAGCCGCAAGGCGAAGCUCUUGAUCGAAGCCCCGGUAAACGGCGGCCGUAACUAUAACGGUCCUAAGGUAGCGAAAUUCCUUGUCGGGUAAGUUCCGACCUGCACGAAUGGCGUAAUGAUGGCCAGGCUGUCUCCACCCGAGACUCAGUGAAAUUGAACUCGCUGUGAAGAUGCAGUGUACCCGCGGCAAGACGGAAAGACCCCGUGAACCUUUACUAUAGCUUGACACUGAACAUUGAGCCUUGAUGUGUAGGAUAGGUGGGAGGCUUUGAAGUGUGGACGCCAGUCUGCAUGGAGCCGACCUUGAAAUACCACCCUUUAAUGUUUGAUGUUCUAACGUUGACCCGUAAUCCGGGUUGCGGACAGUGUCUGGUGGGUAGUUUGACUGGGGCGGUCUCCUCCUAAAGAGUAACGGAGGAGCACGAAGGUUGGCUAAUCCUGGUCGGACAUCAGGAGGUUAGUGCAAUGGCAUAAGCCAGCUUGACUGCGAGCGUGACGGCGCGAGCAGGUGCGAAAGCAGGUCAUAGUGAUCCGGUGGUUCUGAAUGGAAGGGCCAUCGCUCAACGGAUAAAAGGUACUCCGGGGAUAACAGGCUGAUACCGCCCAAGAGUUCAUAUCGACGGCGGUGUUUGGCACCUCGAUGUCGGCUCAUCACAUCCUGGGGCUGAAGUAGGUCCCAAGGGUAUGGCUGUUCGCCAUUUAAAGUGGUACGCGAGCUGGGUUUAGAACGUCGUGAGACAGUUCGGUCCCUAUCUGCCGUGGGCGCUGGAGAACUGAGGGGGGCUGCUCCUAGUACGAGAGGACCGGAGUGGACGCAUCACUGGUGUUCGGGUUGUCAUGCCAAUGGCACUGCCCGGUAGCUAAAUGCGGAAGAGAUAAGUGCUGAAAGCAUCUAAGCACGAAACUUGCCCCGAGAUGAGUUCUCCCUGAC
rnacentral:rRNA from 1 species